rnacentral:rRNA from 1 species
GUAGGUGGCAAGCGUUGUCCGGGAAUUAUUGGGGCGUAAAGCGCGCGCAGGCGGUUCUUUAAGUCUGAUGUGAAAGCCCACGGGCUCAACCGUGGAGGGUCAUUGGAAACUGGAGAACUUGAGUACAGAAGAGGAAAGCGGAAUUCCACGUGUAGCGGUGAAAUGCGUAGAGAUGUGGAGGAACACCAGUGGCGAAGGCGGCUUUCUGGUCUGUAACUGACGCUGAGGCGCGAAAGCGUGGGGAGCAAACAGGAUUAGAUACCCUGGUAGUCCACGCCGUAAACGAUGAGUGCUAAGUGUUAGGGAGUUUCCGCCCCUUAGUGCUGCAGCUAACGCAUUAAGCACUCCGCCUGGGGAGUACGGCCGCAAAGGCUG